rnacentral:lncRNA from 1 species
AACGACACAUGCUCGCUAGGAUAUCGUAUCCUAUGCAUACGUAUCUUCUCGGACGAAGAGAAGAAUCAGAGCAUUCGUAGCUCGGCUGACACGCACACAAACAAACAAAGCACAGGCAAACGUGGAGCCUGAAUGCCAAUCACUGGACUUACAUCAGCAUCCGAACCUAAAACACACACAAAGAGGCAAACGUGGAGCCUGAA